UACGUAGGGUGCGAGCGUUAAUCGGAAUUACUGGGCGUAAAGCGUGCGCAGGCGGUUCGUGAUGUCUGGUGUGAAAGCCCCGGGCUUAACCUGGGAAUUGCAUUGGAAACUAGCGGGCUGGAGUGUGGCAGAGGGGGGUGGAAUUCCACGUGUAGCAGUGAAAUGCGUAGAGAUGUGGAGGAACACCGAUGGCGAAGGCAGCCCCCUGGGCUAACACUGACGCUCAUGCACGAAAGCGUGGGGAACAAACAGG
rnacentral:rRNA from 1 species